UUUUAUAUAGUUUAAUUAAUAAAACAUUACAUUUUCACUGUAAAAAUAGAUAUAAUCUUAUAAUAC
rnacentral:tRNA from 1 species